UAAAGGUGGAGGCUCCCCAGAAACUUCUCUUGUGACAAUACGAAGUACCAGAUCCUCUCCAGAGCCUUCUAUGGAUGUGCAUAGGUCUUUGUUGCCGUGUAGUCUCCGAGGAGCAGUUAUCAGUGCCUACUCUACGUCAGCGAUACCAGGAGAUACUGGCUUUGGAGCUUGAACCUCUCCUCCUCUAUUACCUGAAUGCCUGGUUUCAGUGAAUUUACAUGAACCGUUCUGAG
rnacentral:lncRNA from 1 species